CUAUUAAAGAAAAGGCACUACAUUACAGAAGCAGGAUGACUGACAUCACAGCACCAAGACCGCCUGCUGAUGAUGCCCAUAACAAGCGGACCGCCUGCUGAUGAUGCCAUUAACAUGCAGACCGCCUGCUGGAGGCUGAUGCUGGGUACUCAUCCAGUAGAAGGUGACAGUGAGUCUGGAUCCUGUGCCAGGAAGCAAGGGGACUAAUACAAGGUACAACUAAUUGCAGUUGUUGGGACCAUGGAAUUAAACCUGUGAAGCCAUGUAAACAUAGUAAGAAUGUGAAAACUCCAUGGCAGGGUGAUAGCCAAGAGACAGGUGGCAGAUAGUCGGUAGAUGAUAACUGGGAGAUAGCAGGGAGACAGACAGGAGAUGAUAGCAGGGAGACAGACAGGAGAUAGCCAGGAGAUGAUAGCUGGGAGAUAGCAGGGAGACAGACAGGAGAUGAUAGCAGGGAGACAGACAGGAGAUAGCCAGGAGAUGAUAGCAGGGAGACAGACAGGAGAUAGCCAGGAGAUGAUAGCUGGGAGAUAGCAGGGAGACAGACAGGAGAUGAUAGCAGGGAGACAGACAGGAGAUAGCCAGGAGAUGAUAGCAGGGAGACAGACAGGA